GGAGCCGGCCGGGCGGCCGCGCCCCGGUCCUAUCGGCUCGGGGCGAGGAAAGUCCGGACUCCGCAGGGCAGGACGCUGGCGAGAGCCAGGCGGGGGCGACCUCGCGAAGGGGCAACAGAAAGCAAACCGCCUCGGCGCUCCGGCGCGGAGGUAAGGGUGAAACGGUGGGGUAAGAGCCCACCAGCGCGGCGGGUGACCGCCGUGGCUCGGCAACCCCCGUCCGGAGCAAGGCGAGCAGGGAGCGUUCGAGGGCGGCCCGCCCGAGCUCCCGGGUAGCCGCACGGCGCGGGCGAACCGCGACGCGGCGGGCGCGCGAGCGUCCGACCGAGAGAGAUGGUCGCCGGCGGCGCGUGAGCGCCGCGCACAGGAUCCGGCUUACAGGCCGGCUCCUCCA
rnacentral:RNase_P_RNA from 1 species